rnacentral:rRNA from 1 species
AUACCUUCCCUUGGCCUUGCUCUUGUGCUGCUGAUUUGCUUGGCCUCUCCUUCAAGUUCCUGCACGAAGCAGGAGGAGAACUCCCUUCGACAGUUCCUUGCCGAGCUCUCGCAAGACGGUGGCCUCACUGCAUCAUGGCGGAAUGGCACAGAUUGCUGCCAGUGGGAAGGGAUCACCUGCAGUACAGAUGAGAUUGUUACAGAUGUCUUGCUGGCUUCUAGGAGUCUUGAGGGGCAAAUCUCUCCUUCUCUUGGGAACCUCGCUGGAUUGCUGCACCUCAACCUGUCAAACAAUCUGCUGUAUGGUGGUCUACCCCAGGAACUGGUGUCCUCCACGAGCAUCCUCAUCGUAGACGUCAGCUUUAACCGCCUCGGAGGAGACCUGCAUGAGUUGUCAUCUACCCAUGCCCGGCCGAUGAAGGUACUGAACAUCUCAAGCAAUUUGUUUACAGGGCAGUUUCCAUCCUCCACAUGGCAGGUGAUGAAAAAUCUGGUUGCACUCAAUGCGAGCAACAACAGCUUUACUGGGCAGCUACCAACUCAUUUCUGUGCCAGCUCGCCAUCCUUGGCAGUGCUUCACCUCUGUUACAAUCAAUUCAGAGGGAGCAUUCCCCCUGAACUUGGUAGCUGCUCCAUGCUCAGAGUGCUCAAGGUUGGCCACAACAACCUCAGUGGGACUUUCCCAGAUGAACUCUUCAAUGCUACCUUGUUAGAAUUCCUCUCCUUCCCCGGGAACAGUUUACAAGGAACACUUCAAGGCUCACAUAUUGCCAAACUCAGUAAUCUUGGUACUCUUGAUCUUGGAGAGAACAGCAUCAGUGGCAAGAUUCCGGGGUCUAUAGGUCAUCUCAAGAAGUUGGAGGAACUCCAUUUAAACAACAACAACAUGUAUGGGCAGUUGCCACCAAGUCUGACAAACUGCACAAAUCUCAUAACCAUUGGCAUCAAGAGCAACAAUUUCAGCGGAGAACUUACCAAGGUCAAUUUCUCUAACCUACCCAAUCUAAAAAAUUUAGAUCUUAUGAACAACAGCUUCAGUGGCAAAAUUCCAGAAAGCAUCUACUCAUGCAGCAAUCUAAUUGCGCUGCGGGUAUCUUCCAAUAAGUUCCAUGGCCAGCUGUCAGAAGCAAUAGGUAACCUGAAGUACCUCUCAUUCCUAUCACUUGCUAACAACACUCUUACAAAUAUCACAAGUACACUUCAGAUACUUGGGAGCUCCAAGAAUCUCACCAUCCUUCUUAUUGGGCUCAACUUCAUGAAUGAGACCAUGCCAGAUGAUGAGAGCAUUGCCGGUUUUGAGAAUCUUCAGGUUCUAGCAAUAACAAGCUGCUCAUUGUUGGGAAAAAUACCUCAUUGGCUAUCAAAGCUAAAAAAAUUGGAGCUAUUGUUUUUAAAAAACAAUCAACUAACAGGACAGAUACCUGACUGGAUUGGCAGCCUAAAAUUCCUCUUGUGUCUAGACAUAUCAAAUAACAGCAUGACGGGGGAAAUCCCAACAGCCUUAAUGCAGAUGCCAAUGCUAGAAUCAGACAAUACUACUGCACCAAAGGUCUUCUUUGAGCUGCCUGUUUGGAACAAGAACAAAUUUAUGCAGUACCUCACACCCAGUGCUUUUCCUAAAGUGCUUAAUCUAGCCAUGAAUAAUUUCACUGGUGUGAUCCCGGAGGAGAUUGGUCAGUUACAAGGACUCUUUUCACUCAACUUGAGCUCCAACAGAUUAUCUGGAGAGAUACCAGAACAGAUCUGCAUCCUCACGAACCUGCAGAUGCUCGACUUGUCUGGUAAUCAUCUCACUGGUAAGAUUCCAGCUGCAUUGAACAAUCUGCACUUCCUCUCCAGAUUCAACAUUUCUAAUAAUGACCUGGAAGGCACUAUUCCAAACGUGGGCCGGUUUAGCACGUUUCCGGAUUCUAGCUUUGGUGGAAACCCAAAACUUCGUGGCCCUAUGGUUGCGAACAAUUGUGGUUCGGCAGAAGCAAGUCCAGUUUCCAUUGACCCCAGAAAACAGAUUGGUAGUGAGGCCACCAUCUUUAUGACUGCCUUCGGUGUUUUCUUUGUAGUAGGAGUCCUAUAUGAUCAGAAAGUCUUAGCU